GGGCCAUCUGCAUAAAAACGGUUGCCUCAUCAGUUGUAACUGUGCUUCUGUUGCGUUUGUGUGUGCAUUAUCUUCAAUAAACAGAUACACAGAAAAUAAGAAACCUGUGGAGAAAUUACAAAAUCUUCCGCUAGGAGAGCCGCAGAAAAUUUUCUCAGCCCGAACCGUGCAGACGAAAUUUGGAAAGACAGUACUGCUCGAGUUGGAGAAGCAUAUAACGUUCCUAGUGCAGAGAGUUACAAAGACCUUCGAGGGAUUCAUGAAUCAUUUCGAAAAAGAAAAAUAGUUAUAUACCCUCCGCCCCUCAGUACAACAGAAACAUUUUUCAUCAAGCUUUCCUUUGAGAAUCAUCUCCGUUCAUCGCUUCACCACAUUUGACCACGGUUCGAGCUUUUCCAGCCCAUCUACCGAGUAGUAUUUCAAGCUUCCUUUUGCAGCGUUAAUUUGAAUAUGCUCGAUAGACGUAUUAUUCUGAAAAUUUCCAACAGCGGUAGAAGUCCACCAACUUUGCAAGAAUUGGCUGAGAACGAAAUUUUUAGGACUGUUGGAGAUAUUUAUAGAUUUCGUGCUAAUGAAAAAGUAGGAAUUGAAAUUCGGUAUUGUAAAAAUAUGCUAAGUUUAUUGUUAUUUCAAUAUACCAAAAGAAUUUAAAGAAAUACUCAAUGUAAAUUGUAUCAGAAAAUUGAAGAAACAAAUGAGAAAAAAUCACCAUUUUACCGAUCCUGGUUGGUAAAAUUUUGGUACACAUACAUUUUUUUGAGUAUUUCAGUUUUUGCAUAAUAUUUAUUAUUGUACAUGCACAACUUUGCAUUUCCACCAUUACUUCUACAAUUGACAGAAAAAGUAAUUCAAAAUUAUGUCAAACAUAAUAUAUUAGAAUGAAAUUUCUCAAGCGUUAUCAAUAUGCGAUAAUCUACAACCAGAAAACACCAUUUUUUACUGUAUUUCAAUAAUCCAUUAUAUGUAGUUUUUUAUUGUAUCAUUUUUAUAAUUCAAAUAUAUGUAGUUUUUUAUUGUAUCAUUUUCAUAAUUCAAAUAUGUAUAGUUUUUUAAUGUUGUAUUUUAAGGAGGGUAUUUUGAAUAAAUAAUAAAAAAAAACAAAAUCAU
rnacentral:lncRNA from 1 species